GUGCUCACUUCAGCCAUGCAUAUACUAAAAUUGGAAUGAUACAGAAAGGAUUUGCAUGGCCCCUGCACAA
rnacentral:snRNA from 1 species